CACUUUGUCAGGGAAGAAACGGUGAAGGCUAAUAUCCUUUGCUAAUGACGGUACUGAAGAAUAAGGACCGGCUAACUACGUGCCAGCAGCCGCGGUAAUACGUAGGGUCCAAGCGUUAAUCGGAAUUACUGGGCGUAAAGCGUGCGCAGGCGGUUGUGUAAGUCAGAUGUGAAAUCCCCGGGCUCAACCUGGGAAUUGCAUUUGAGACUGCACGGCUAGAGUGUGUCAGAGGGGGGUAGAAUUCCACGUGUAGCAGUGAAAUGCGUAGAGAUGUGGAGGAAUACCGAUGGCGAAGGCAGCCCCCUGGGAUAACACUGACGCUCAUGCACGAAAGCGUGGGGAGCAAACAGGAUUAGAUACCCUGGUAGUCCACGCCCUAAACGAUGUCUACUAGUUGUCGGGUCUUAAUUGACUUGGUAACGCAGCUAACGCGUGAAGUAGACCGCCUGGGGAGUACGGUCGCAAGAUUAAAACUCAAAGGAAUUGACGGGGACCCGCACAAGCGGUGGAUGAUGUGGAUUAAUUCGAUGCAACGCGAAAAACCUUACCUACCCUUGACAUGGUCGGAAUCCUGCUGAGAGGCGGGAGUGCUCGAAAGAGAACCGGCGCACAGGUGCUGCAUGGCUGUCGUCAGCUCGUGUCGUGAGAUGUUGGGUUAAGUCCCGCAACGAGCGCAACCCUUGUCAUUAGUUGCCACAUUCAGUUGGGCACUCUAAUGAGACUGCCGGUGACAAACCGGAGGAAGGUGGGGAUGACGUCAAGUCCUCAUGGCCCUUAUGGGCAGGGCUUCACACGUCAUACAAUGGUACAUACAGAGGGCCGCCAACCCGCGAGGGGGAGCUAAUCCCAGAAAGUGUAUCGUAGUCCGGAUUGGAGUCUGCAACUCGACUCCAUGAAGUUGGAAUCGCUAGUAAUCGCGGAUCAGCAUGUCGCGGUGAAUACGUUCCCGGGUCUUGUACACACCGCCCGUCACACCAUGGGAGCGGGUUUCACCAGAAGUAGGUAGCCUAACCGCAAGGAGGGCGCUUACCACGGUGGGAUC
rnacentral:rRNA from 1 species